CCCAACUAUCCCUAUUAAUCAUUACGUCAAUCCUAGAAACCAACAAAAUAGAAUCAAACGUCCUAUUUCAUUAUUCCAUGCUAAUGUAUUCAAGCGUGAGCCUGCUUUAAACACUCUAAUUUUUUCAAAGUAACAGUCCUGAUUCCCCACAACACCAAAUAAAUGACAUCGUGGUUCGUCAGAAGGGAGAAACCAACAAUACCAGUACGUACCGAGGCACGACCGACAUGAUGGUCCCGAAAUUCAACUACGAGCUUUUUAACUGCAGCAACUUUAAUAUACGCUAUUGGAGCUGGAAUUACCGCGGCUGCUGGCACCAGACUUGCCCUCCAA
rnacentral:misc_RNA from 1 species